rfam:Arabis alpina cultivar Pajares chromosome 5, whole genome shotgun sequence.
AGAGAAAGGAUCCAAAGGGAUCGCAUUGAUCCUAAUUAAGCUAAAUUAUUUCUCAAUAAUUGUUUUUCUUUGUUAAGAAAUUUUUUUCAAAAAUUUGCUUUCGUUUCCGGAUCAUGCGAUCUCUUUGGAUUCAUCCUU